rnacentral:lncRNA from 1 species
GCAUCCUCAAUCUUCUUCUUGUCAUCCGCGCUAAGCUUAGAACUAAUUUUCUCGUCCUUCACUGUGUUCCUCAUGUUGUAGGCGUAGUUCUCCAAUGCAUUCUUGGCCUCCACCUUCUUCUUGUGAUCCUCGUCUUCUGCCUUGUACUUCUCAGCUUCCUGCACCAUCUUCUCAAUUUCUUCCUUUGACAACCUACCCUUGUCAUUGGUAAUUGUAAUCUUGUUCUUCUGUCCAGUGGUCUUGUCCUCGGCUGAUACGUUCAAGAUACCAUUUGCAUCAAUAUCGAAGCAGACAGUGAUCUGAGGCACACCCCUAGGAGCAGGAGGAAUACCAGAAAGCUCAAAUUUACCCAGUAAGUUGUUGUCUCUUGUUCUUGCUCUCUCACCCUCGAACACCUGAAUCAACACUCCGGGUUGGUUAUCAGAGUAUGUGGGAGAAUACUUGCUCUUUCUUGGUGGGAAUUGUAGUGUUCCUAGGAAUCAGGACAGUCAUCACACCUCCAGCAGUUUCUAACCCAAGAGACAGAGGUGUGACAUCCAAAAGCAGCAAGUCUUGGACCUUCUCAUUACCCUCUCCGCUAAGGAUGGCAGCUUGCACAGCAGCACCAUAGGCAACAGCCUCAUCAGGGUUGAUGCUCUU